rnacentral:rRNA from 1 species
AUUGAACGCUGGCGGCAGGCCUAACACAUGCAAGUCGAACGAGUGGCGGAAGGGUGAGGAAUGUCUGGGAAACUGCCUGAUGGAGGGGGAUAACUACUGGAAACGGUAGCUAAUACCGCAUACCAUCAGAUGUGCCCAGAGGGGAUUAGCUAGUGGGUGGGGUAACGGCUCACCAAGGCGACGAUCCCUAGCUGGUCGGAGAGGAUGACCAGCCACACUGGAACUGAGACACGGUCCAGACUCCUACGGGAGGCAGCAGUGGGGAAUAUGGCACAAUGGGCGCAAGCCUGAUGCAGCCAUGCCGCGUGUGUGAAGAAGGCCUUCGGGUUGUAAAGUACUUUCAGCGAGGAGGCGUUACCCGCAGAAGAAGCACCGGCUAACUCCGUGCCAGCAGCCGCGGUAAUUC